GGUAAUAUCUGAGAGUCAAAUUCGAGCCUGGUGAGAGGGUUACACUAAUAAUUGGUUUUAUUUUAUGUGUUUCCACAGUCAUUCUUUUGCUAUUUCUCUAAAUGUUUUUAUCUCAACUGUGGGGUCAACAGUUGAUCACUUGAACCCUUUAUUAAUACUUUGUUAAAUACAAAGAACAACAACAGAAAUAGCAGAUCUUUAAGCACACAACUUUGAUGCUUUGCUUGUUAAUAACUAACUUGCUUAUCUUUUAACAUUUUAAUUUUUACUAUAAUUAGUGUACAAUGAAUGUUUUUGAUAUUUGUGUAAUUAUUAUUGUAAUGGAUAUUUUUUGUCCAUGUAGGAACAACGUGAUGUAAAUAUGAGACGGCCCUCGUCCUUCGUGCACUUCCUGCGUACCUGCGUGAAGAUGCCUCCAAGUUUUUCAGGACCUGUAAUUCAGCAGAUGGUCCAGACCUCACUGACACUCCGGUGGCUCUCCUGACAGUUGUCACUGAUGAUACUACUGAUGUGGCCCUCUUCAGCCCUGAGAGCAUCUGUAUUGUCGUGGAAGAUGAAAUACUUGUGAGUGGUCCCACAAACCUGGCUGACUAAUUUAUCCUGCUAUUUGGGUAUGUCUAUGCACUAGACCUACAGUACCCAAAGAAUCUCGAGCUUACAUUCACAUUUAUCCAAAAAGUUGUGAUGUGUCUUGAGGACAACAAACCACUGAAAGGGCGUCUACUGACACGGAAGAAUGAUUUGUUCAAUGAGUGAAUCACUCAGAAUGGACUAUUUGUUGAGCUGAGUAUUGAGGAUGUUUUUUGUUUUUUUCCCCUCUUUACAAAUGUAAUAAUUUGCCUCUUCUACCUCAUGUUUAAUAUGUUACACUGUUUGCCUCUUCUACCUCAGAUUUAAUACAUUGAUUGUUAAUAGAUAAAUAU